GACGAACGCUGGCGGCGUGCUUAACACAUGCAAGUCGAACGGAAAGGCCUGCUUUCCCUUGUGGAUUGCGGGUACUCGAGUGGCGAACGGGUGAGUAACACGUGAGUGAUCUGCCCCCAACUUGGGUAUAAGCCUGGGAAACUGGGUCUAAUUCCCGAUAGGACUGCAGGGUGGUGCCUGUGGUGGAAAACGAUUUUCUAGUGGUUGGGGAUGAGCUCGCGGCCUAUCAGCUUGUUGGUGGGGUAAUGGCCUACCAAGGCGGCGACGGGUAGCCGGCCUGAGAGGGUGGACGGCCACAUUGGGACUGAGAUACGGCCCAGACUCCUACGGGAGGCAGCAGUGGGGAAUAUUGCACAAUGGGCGGAAGCCUGAUGCAGCGACGCCGCGUGGGGGAUGACGGCCUUCGGGUUGUAAACUCCUUUCGACCGCGAGGAAGCCACGUGGUUGGAAGGGUGGUGACGGUAGUGGUAGAAGAAGCACCGGCUAACUACGUG
rnacentral:rRNA from 1 species